GAUGUCAUCACUGGCUGGCUGAGUGGGAGGAGAGCAGUGGAUGUAGUCUACCUUCAUUUCAGCAAGGCAUUUGAUACUGUCUCCAAUAACAUUCUUAUAACAAAGCUGAGGAAACGUAGGAUAGACUGGUGGACAGUGAGCGCAGAAUUUCUGACCACAUUGUCUGGGAUGCUGGAGUGACAGAUACAGCUGCUUCUUUUCUGUAAAUAAAGGCUUGAAAAGAAUUGACGAGGCUGCACGUGGAACGCUAUGUCCAAUUCUUGGCUGCCUAGUACAAGAGGGACAUGGACAUGUCAGAAAGAAUCUGAUGGACGGCUACUGUGAUGAUUAAUGGACAGGAACCCCUCUCCCCUGAGAAGGAGGUGAAAGAGAGGCCUUGUGAAGGGAAGUCUUGGGGGUGAUAUAAACAAAUAGAAGGGAGAGAAUGACUUGAGGCUUUUUUCAGUGGUACUCAGUGACAGGACAUUGCUGGAAGAAAUGUCUGUUGGUAAGGCAAGAUGGUGAGCUGCAAAGAAUUCAGGAAACUCUUGGAGUGUGUAGAGGAGAACUUCCUAGUCCAAGUAUUAGUAAAACCAACCAGAAGUUAACUGUUAAUGGACCUAGUUCUCACCAGUGCAGAAGAGCUUAUUGAAGAGGCUAAUACUGCCAGCAGUCUUGGCUGUAGUGACCACACCUUAUUUGGGUUUGUGUUCUCAAUGAAAAUGAGCUUGGCAAAGAGCAAAGAGAGGACCCUGAAUUUUAGAAAAGUGAAAUUCUAGCUGUUUAAACUAUUAGUGGAAGAGAAGAGUUUUGGUAGAAAAAAGCUGGACAUGAGCCAGCAGUGUGAACUUGCAGUCCUAUAGGCCAGCUGUAUCCUGUGCUGCAUCGAA